GGGUCAGUAGGUUGGUCGUGCCACCGGUACGUACUGGUCUCACUGAUUCCUCCUUCCUGAAGAACCGUAAUGCCAUUAAUUUGGUGUUGCGGGGAAACAGGACUGUUACUUUGAAAAAAUUAGAGUGUUUAAAGCAAGCUAACGCUUGAAUACAUUAGCGUGGAAUAAUGAAAUAGGACGACCGAUCCUAUUUUGUUGGUUUCUAGGAUUGACGUA
rnacentral:rRNA from 1 species